AUUGAACGCUGGCGGCAUGCUUUACACAUGCAAGUCGAACGGUAACAGGCCUUCGGGCGCUGACGAGUGGCGAACGGGUGAGUAAUGCAUCGGAACGUGCCCAGAGGUGGGGGAUAACGCAGCGAAAGCUGUGCUAAUACCGCAUAAGCCCUAAGGGGGAAAGCAGGGGACCGUAAGGCCUUGCGCGAUUAGAGCGGCCGAUACCUGAUUAGCUAGUUGGUGAGGUAAAGGCUCACCAAGGCAACGAUCAGUAGCUGGUCUGAGAGGACGAUCAGCCACACUGGGACUGAGACACGGCCCAGACUCCUACGGGAGGCAGCAGUGGGGAAUUUUGGACAAUGGGGGCAACCCUGAUCCAGCAAUGCCGCGUGAGUGAAGAAGGCC
rnacentral:rRNA from 1 species